AGGACGAACGCUGGCGGCGUGCUUAACACAUGCAAGUCGAGCGGUAAGGCCUUUCGGGGUACACGAGCGGCGAACGGGUGAGUAACACGUGGGUGAUCUGCCCUGCACUUCGGGAUAAGCCUGGGAAACUGGGUCUAAUACCGGAUAUGAUUUCAGGUUGCAUGACUUGGGGUGGAAAGAUUUAUCGGUGCAGGAUGGGCCCGCGGCCUAUCAGCUUGUUGGUGGGGUAAUGGCCUACCAAGGCGACGACGGGUA
rnacentral:rRNA from 1 species